AGCCCUGUGGUGAGUACAGUGUGAGCUAUUCUUUUGCUUUGUACUAAAGAAUAUCGUGCUCUCCACUCAAAGCGGCAUAUGCCUAUUUUUGGAAGGGUGUUCCUCGUUGAAUGCC